rnacentral:rRNA from 1 species
GAUGAACGCUGGCGGCGUGCCUAAUACAUGCAAGUCGAGCGAACGGACGAGAAGCUUGCUUCUCUGAUGUUAGCGGCGGACGGGUGAGUAACACGUGGAUAACCUACCUAUAAGACUGGGAUAAAUUCGGGAAACCGUAGCUAAAACCGGAUAAUAUUUUGAACCGCAUGGUUCAAAAGUGAAAGACGGUCUUGCUGUCACUUAUAGAUGGAUCCGCGCUGCAUUAGCUAGUUGGUAAGGUAACAGCUUACCAAGGCAACGAUGCAUAGCCGACCUGAGAGGGUGAUCGGCCACACUGGAACUGAGACACGGUCCAGACUCCUACGGGAGGCAGCAGUAGGGAAUCUUCCGCAAUGGGCGCAAGCCUGACGGAGCCACGCCGCGUGAGUGAUGAAGGUCUUCGGAUCGUAAAACUCUGUUAUUAGGGAAGAACAUAUGUGUAAGUAACUGUGCACAUAUUGACGGUACCUAAUCAGAAAGCCACGGCUAACUACGUG